AAAACUCAUCUCAGUGACUUGAUUAUGAAAUGCUACCAGUUUGAAGCAGUCACUGAAAAACAUAAGGUCAUAAAUCAGGAAUCCAGAAGAAACAAUGAAUAGCAACUUUAUCUUCACUUCACUUCUAACACUGGCUCUCCAAGGGUCUGGGAGAGCAGACUGGAUCAAGCCCCAGGAGACAGAAGUAUCUGGAACAGAAGGGAAGACUGUGAACCUACUUUGUAACUAUGGUACAUCAUCGGGGAGCUAUCUUGAUCUCUGCUGGUUUUGACAGUAUCCGAGCCAGGCAUCAGAAUACAUUCUCUACAGAGGGUGGGGAUAUUCUGGAAAAGGAGAUGCCAGUUUUGCCAUAGGAAAGUUUAUUCAAAGAGUACAGCAAAUGCAAUAAAUGUGUACAUUAGAAAUCUGGUUCCUGCA
rnacentral:lncRNA from 1 species